GACGAACGCUGGCGGCGUGCCUAAUACAUGCAAGUAGAACGCUGAAGAGAGGAGCUUGCUCUUCUUGGAUGAGUUGCGAACGGGUGAGUAACGCGUAGGUAACCUGCCUUGUAGCGGGGGAUAACUAUUGGAAACGAUAGCUAAUACCGCAUAACAAUGGAUGACACAUGUCAUUUAUUUGAAAGGGGCAAUUGCUCCACUACAAGAUGGACCUGCGUUGUAUUAGCUAGUAGGUGAGGUAAUGGCUCACCUAGGCGACGAUACAUAGCCGACCUGAGAGGGGGAGCGGCCAAACUGGGACUGAGACACGGCCCAGACUCCUACGGGAGGCAGCAGUAGGGAAUCUUCGGCAAUGGGGGCAACCCUGACCGAGCAACGCCGCGUGAGUGAAGAAGGUUUUCGGAUCGUAAAGCUCUGUUGUAAGUCAAGAACGGGUGUGAGAGUGGAAAGUUCACACUGUGACGGUAGCUUACCAGAAAGGGACGGCUAACUACGUG
rnacentral:rRNA from 1 species